GACCUCCCCGACGAAAAUACACCGAAACUUAAAGCGUCGAGUGAUCUCUGUAACGUCUCCACCAUCCAUAAAUCCAUUCUGUACUCUGAGUUUUUCCUUGAUUAAUCAACUCCUCCCACCUGAAGCAUUCAAUCUAUCUACCUCUUUGUAUCCUACAGUAACCGGCGGAAGCAUUCAAUCGAUUCUUUUUUCAGCUCGCUUCGUCUCUUUAAGCGAUCACUUCCUUUUCCCAAUUCCCUUUUUCAGGUACACAGAUUUCAUUUCACUUCGUUUCUUCCGCACUUUGCUUAUUGCUCGCUUAAUAAUGGAGUUAGAAAGGCAGAUCGAACGAUUGUGAUGCUCUUUUGGCUGCUGAAUCUCGUGCUCUGUCUGGAAAGUAAGGGAUCUAUUCUGCAAAAGCAUCUCUAGCCAUGCACAUCACCGACCUAACUGUGAUAAGUAAAUCUAUAUCUGAUAAACAAAGCUCAUUUUCAAUCGCUAAUUGGUAAGCAUAUAUAUUAUUUGUCUCUCUUCAAAGAAUCAGGAAAAUACCGGCUGUUGUUAAAUAUGUACUCAGUGGAGAGACGCAGCUAAGCUAUCUAUGUAAUGUAAUGAGACGCAAAAUCAUGCAGAGAGACGUCGAGAGAUUGAAGUUGAAACCGUGGAUUGAAUCGGUACGUUCUUGGAUCAAUGUGGGAGUUGAAGCAACUAUUCUUGAACAGGCAGAGAGAUAUGCUACUAACCAGAAACUGAAGAUUUGGGAGAAUUAUGUUAAAGGACAAGAACUAUCAAACGGAAGUACAGCCUUAGAAACCAAACAAAAAAGAGACCUCUGUUGCUGUCACAGAUGUACUUGGCGGUGGUCGAUUCUAUGUUCAGUCGGUUGGAGACCAGAAACUAGCUUCGAUUCAGAACCAUUUUGCAUCCAUGUUUGUUAAAGAUGCUCCCAUCAUCGUAUCCUUCAACUCUAAGAGAGGUGAUAUCGUUCUUGCACAGUUUAUCCUUGACUACUUUUGGAACCGUGCAAUGAUUGUGAAUUCACCACGAGGCGCUGUUGAGAUGAUAAAUUUGAAGUGUUCUACUUCGAUUAUGGAAACCAUGAAGUAGUCCCUAUAGCGCAAUCCCACCACUCCACCAGUAGACCCUUCGGUAUCAUUAGCACCAGGGCUUGCUUAGCUCUGGAGACUUGUCUACAUUAAGGUUCCAAGCUUGGAAGAAGAUUGUGGUCCUGAAGAAAAAAUAUCUUCACUUCUGAUUUUGGGAUGAAGAACCGAGACGCCGUAACCUUUCAGAUGAUACCCGCUUCGUCUAAUGCUUGCUGAAAUCAUUCACAUGUUGAUUGGAAUGAUUCACCAACUCGCUCCUCAUUGGCUAUCGUGAAAACGUUUAAAGAGUAAAUACGAGCUAAAGAGAAAGCAGAGUAAACAUAGUACUUUUUUUUAGCACAUAAUAAACAGAGUAGUUUAUUCUCUUUA